AGCUCCAAUAGCGUAUAUUAAAGUUGUUGCAGUUAAAAAGCUCGUAGUUGGAUCUCGGGAGCGAGCGAGCGGUCGGGCGUUCAGCCGUGUACUUCUCACUCAUCCUACUGACCGGUACGUGCCCUGUGCUCUUAACCGAGUGUAGGGACCGUCUGGUGCGUUUACUUUGAAAAAAUUAGAGUGCUCAAAGCAGACGAGUCGUCUGAAUAGCCGUGCAUGGAAUAAUGGAAUAGGACCUCGGUUCUAUUUUGUUGGUUUUCGGAAGUCGAGGUAAUGAUUAAGAGGGACAGACGGGGGCAUUCGUACUGGGCCGCCAGAGGUGAAAUUCUUUAACUGGCUCAUGACGAACAACUGCGAAAGCAUUUGCCAAGAAUGUUUUCAUUA
rnacentral:rRNA from 1 species